rnacentral:lncRNA from 1 species
AGUGAGAACAUGUGGUAUUUGUUUUUUUGUUGUUGUUGUUCUUCAUUAGUUUGCUAAGGAUAAUGACCUCCAGCUCUAUCCAUAUUCCUGGAUGAUAAUCUUGUUCUUUUUUAUAGCUGCAUAGUAUUCCAUGCUUUACAUGUAUCACAUUUUCUUCAUGCAGUCUACCAUUGAUGGGCAUUUAGGUUGAUUUCAUGUCUUUGCCAUUGUGAAUAGUGCUACAAUGAACAUACAUGUGUGCAUCAAUGUUCAUCAAGGAUAUUGGUCUAAAAUUCUCUUUUUUGGUUGUGUCUCUGCCCGGCUUUGGUAUCAGGAUGAUGCUGGCCUCAUAAAAUGAGUUAGGGAGGAUUCCCUCUUUUUUAUUUGCAAAACAGUUUCAUUAUCAGCCCCUAUCCCAGACUAGCCCCCAGAUCCAUCUUGCGUUUCACAAAAGGUUACUGCUGGAUAACUUUUAUAAACAAAAAAAGUCUUUUGUCCCUGAUCUCCACCCUUAGCUAAGCAAAGAGACAGCAAAAACAAAGAGAGAGAUUUUCCCUUAAUUGAAAAUUUGCUGAUGAUAUCUGGAAAAGAAGAAAAUUCAAAUUCUUGAGUGUGCUUUUUUCCAAUUACAACAAACUCUAGAGGUAAUUUUCUGUCUACCUGUCAUAGAUAUUUUCUACAAUGAACAUGCAUUCUUUAAUAAAAUAUAAUACAGUAAAUAUUACUUUAAAAAGUAAUUGUUGCUUAUGGAUGAAUAUCUCUAAAGCACUUCAAGUUCUUAUUUCAGAACCUAUCCCACUUGUCAGCUCUGUUCCAGUCUGGCUCCUUGCUUUAAGGUCUCCUUCCCCUAACCUUUCCUUUUCUCUCCCUUUCUCUCUCUCUUCCUUCCUGUUUGAAUCUUACAGGGGUACCAAAAAAGCCUAUGAACUUAAAAGGGA